GCUGGAUCCCCUCCUUUCUAAGGAUACAAGCGAAAGCGCCGAGCCCAAGCGUUCGGAAGAGCUUCGCGAGUUCCAAAGAACAUUGCCGUCGUCCUCAUGUCCUUUCAUCAAUCAGAUACGCGAGCGCUUUCGGGCGUUUGCGUUUGCCUGAGCUGGCUCGCGCCGCAAUCGGCUUCCAACGAGCCGGUUCGUGUGGUGCAGGUCCGUAGCUCAGUUGGUUAGAGCGCACCCCUGAUAAGGGUGAGGUCGGUGGUUCAAAUCCACUCGGACCUACCAUCGCCAUUUGGUCGAUGGCUGUUCACCAAAUGAGGGGUCUUAGCUCAGCUGGGAGUGCACCUGCUUUGCAAGCAGGGGGUCAUCGGUUCGAUCCCGAUAGGCUCCACCAGGCAUUUAAUCUGAUGAUGAAACGAGAGAGAUCCGGUCUUCGGACUGGUCAGGCGGAUCUGCCGCCGAACUUUGACAUUGUGAAUGGGUUUUUAAAUCGAUGCCGUGGCGCAUGGAUUGUUUGGAUGGUCGCAAGGCCAUUCGCACGCGGUCUAUGCAUCACUUAUCAAUCAAAUUGAUUAUCUGGCUGAGAUAAUUCCUCCGCGCCAUCGCGAAGACGAAUGGGCUUUUAUGCAGGCCUGUCGUUGAUGGUGUGGAUUCUCAAGCGUGAGGUAAGAGCAUUUGGUGGAUGCCUUGGCAUGUACAGGCGAAGAAGGACGUGACACGCUGCGAUAAGCGUCGGGGAGCUGUGAGUAAGCUUUGAUCCGGCGAUUUCCGAAUGGGGAAACCCGGAAGC
rnacentral:misc_RNA from 1 species